rnacentral:rRNA from 1 species
AUUGAACGCUGGCGGCAGGCCUAACACAUGCAAGUCGAGCGGAUGAAGGGAGCUUGCUCCUGGAUUCAGCGGCGGACGGGUGAGUAAUGCCUAGGAAUCUGCCUGGUAGUGGGGGAUAACGUCCGGAAACGGGCGCUAAUACCGAAUACGUCCUGAGGGAGAAAGUGGGGGAUCUUCGGACCUCACGCUAUCAGAUGAGCCUAGGUCGGAUUAGCUAGUUGGUGGGGUAAAGGCCUACCAAGGCGACGAUCCGUGACUGGUCUGAGAGGAUGAUCAGUCACACUGGAACUGAGACACGGUCCAGACUCCUACGGGAGGCAGCAGUGGGGAAUAUUGGACAAUGGGCGAAAGCCUGAUCCAGCCAUGCCGCGUGUGUGAAGAAGGUCUUCGGAUUGUAAAGCACUUUAAGUUGGGAGGAAGGGCAGUAAGUUAAUACCUUGCUGUUUUGACGUUACCAACAGAAUAAGCACCGGCUAACUUCGUG